rnacentral:lncRNA from 1 species
GAUCAUUUCGUGGAAAAUACAAGCCGGGGGUCCAUGGAAUGUAAAUGUGACAAGGUUGGGAAUCCGUGAUCACAAUGAACAAGAUGGAGCUUGUGAUUGGAUUGGAAGGUUCUCUGGCCUCGGGGACUUUGGCCAAGGCAGUUUCAUGGGUUGGUAAUGGUGCCUGUCUCCUCCAGGGCCACUCAACACGUCCAAUACUGUGACACAGAUGGGCUAGCCUCCUUCUCUCUCCUUCCACCCUGUCUUUAGGACCAUCUCCAGACAUCAAAGAGCAUUAUAUCAUGGCUAAGAACAGAUGCUGGGGCCAGGGAGAUGGGCACAGGGAGAUGGCACUAAGCUUUCAGAGGAUUGGAGUUUGGUUCCCAUUCCCAUGUUGGCCAGAUCAUGACGGCCAGUGGCUACAGCUUCAGAGGACCUGGAACCUUCUUCUGGUGACCCUGCAUGCACCACCUUCAUAUGCACCUCCCCCUAAGACACACACGCCUUCCUAACUGUCUCUGGUGACAACAGGACAGGUACAUCACAGCUGUUUGUGUGCUAUGAUUUCCUGUGUGUGCACACAGGAAGAAGACCCUCUUUUCUUCUUUGCCCACAAACUGCUCUUCACUCCUGGGAUGACCUUGCUUCAGCUGGGAUCAGAAGCUCAAGAGCACACUGGAAGACAAAAUGGGUAGCAAGUGCAGGCAAGAAAGAGCGUCCAACCUCAGACACCACCGGGAAAAUGCAAAAUGUGACCAUGAGAUGCAACUUCUCAAACAUAAGGAUGACGAAAUGCAGAAGUCAAGUUGGUGAAGCUAUGCCCUCUUACAGAAUUAGAUAAAGACAUUGUGGAAACCGGGCGUAGGGGCAUCUUAGAAAGCUAAAAGUAGGAUUGCCGUAUGAUCCAGCAAGCUCACUUCUGGGUAGAGCGAAGGAAGUGAAGUCACAGACAGCCGUUUCAUGCUUAUACGUUGCAGUGUUAUAGUUGGUAGCAAUUUGCCUGAGAUGUACCAACUGAUCCAGAUGGAGAAAUCAGGUUACAUGCGAACAAUCGAAGGGAAUGUGAUUCAGCCUUGAAAGAGGCAGUCCUGAGUGAACAUGGAAGACAAAUGUACCCCUCAGGGAAAGAGACACAUAGAAGUUUGUCUAGGGACCUAGAAUAUUCUUUCUCGUGGAAAGAAAGGCCAUAUCCCAGGAGAGCUGAUUACCAGGAUGUGAAAUGGCAUCUGGCGACCGCGCAGCUGCGGAUUUUUGAAUCCAAAGCAAUAAAAGGAUCUAGAAACGUAAGCCAGUACUCUUUAAAAUAACAAUGAAAAC